AUUGAACGCUGGCGGCAGGCCUAACACAUGCAAGUCGAACGAGUGGCGGACGGGUGAGUAAAUUCUGGGAAACUUCCUGCUGGAGGGGGAUAACUACUGGAAACGGUAGCUCAUACCGCAUACCCUCUGAUGUGCCCAGAUGGGAUUAGCUGGUGGUUGGGGUAACGGCUCACCAAGGCGACGAUCCCUAGCUGGUCUGAGAGGAUGACCAGCCACACGGGAACUGAGACACGGUCCAGACUCCUACGGGAGGCAGCAGUGGGGAAUAUUGCACAAUGGGCGAAAGCCUGAUACAGCCAUGCCGCGUGUAUGAAGAAGGCCUUCGGGUUGUAAAGUACUUUCAGCGGGGAGGCGUUACUCGCAGAAGAAGCACCGGCUAACUCCGUGCCAGCAGCCGCGGUAAUAC
rnacentral:rRNA from 1 species